rnacentral:rRNA from 1 species
GCUCCAAUAGCGUAUAUUUUUUGUUGUUGCAGUUAAAAAAGCUCGUAGUUGAAUUUCUGGUGGGAGAAUGCGGUGCAACUUAGUUGCUACUGGCAGCCUCCGGCCAUCCUUGGGUUUAGCCAUUCUGGCAUUAAGUUGUCGGGGUGGGGAUGCCAUCGUUUACUGUGAAAAAAUUAGAGUGUUCAAAGCAGACUUAUGUC